rnacentral:rRNA from 2 species
CUUGCUCCUCUGAUUUAGCGGCGGACGGGUGAGUAACACGUGGGUAAUCUGCCUGUAAGACGGGGAUAACUCCGGGAAACCGGGGCUAAUACCGGAUAACAAGAGAAGAAGCAUUUCUUCUUUUUGAAAGUCGGUUUCGGCUGACACUUACAGAUGAGCCCGCGGCGCAUUAGCUAGUUGGUGAGGUAACGGCUCACCAAGGCGACGAUGCGUAGCCGACCUGAGAGGGUGAUCGGCCACACUGGGACUGAGACACGGCCCAGACUCCUACGGGAGGCAGCAGUAGGGAAUCUUCGGCAAUGGGCGAAAGCCUGACCGAGCAACGCCGCGUGAGCGAUGAAGGCCUUCGGGUCGUAAAGCUCUGUUGUUAGAGAAGAACAAGUACGAGAGUAACUGCUCGUACCUUGACGGUACCUAACCAGAAAGCCACGGCUAACUACGUGCCAGCAGCCGCGGUAAUACGUAGGUGGCAAGCGUUAUCCGGAAUUAUUGGGCGUAAAGCGCGCGCAGGCGGUCUCUUAAGUCUGAUGUGAAAGCCCACGGCUCAACCGUGGAGGGUCAUUGGAAACUGGGAGACUUGAGUGCAGGAGAGAAAAGUGGAAUUCCACGUGUAGCGGUGA